rnacentral:rRNA from 1 species
GAUGAACGCUGGCGGCGUGCUUAACACAUGCAAGUCGAACGAUGAAGCCCAGCUUGCUGGGUGGAUUAGUGGCGAACGGGUGAGUAACACGUGAGUAACCUGCCCUUGACUCUGGGAUAAGCCUGGGAAACUGGGUCUAAUACUGGAUAUGACUUCUCAUCGCAUGGUGGGGGGUGGAAAGAUUUAUUGGUCUUGGAUGGACUCGCGGCCUAUCAGCUUGUUGGUGAGGUAAUGGCUCACCAAGGCGACGACGGGUAGCCGGCCUGAGAGGGUGACCGGCCACACUGGGACUGAGACACGGACCAGACUCCUACGGGAGGCAGCAGUGGGGAGUAUUGCACAAUGGGCGCGAGCCUGAUGCAGCGACGCCGCGUGAGGGAUGACGGCCUUCGGGUUGUAAACCUCUUUCAGUAGGGAAGAAGCGAGAGUGACGGUACCUGCAGAAGAAGCGCCGGCUAACUACGUG